rnacentral:lncRNA from 1 species
AGCAUAUGGGUGUUCCUUGAAUAUGUCACCAAACAUCAAGUUGAUACAAUGGACAGCACAUAGAGUCCAAUAAAUGUUUGGAUAGAUAGUUUCCAUCAUCUUCCCCCCACUAACAUUCUCACUAGCAUUAUCAGUAACAACUUGUACAAUAUUUUCCUUUCCAAUUUUAUCAAUAGUAUUUCUAAACAAGUUGUACAUUUUGCUUCCAUCCGUAGAAGAGUUGCUAGCAUCGUGAGAUUCAAGAAAAACACUCCCUCUUGGAGAGCUCACCAACACAUUUAUGAUCAUUUUCCCAUUCUGUGCUGACCACUUAUCCAUCAUAAUUGAACAAACAAACUUGGUCCAUUCCACUUUAUGCUCCUCAAUAAUUUGGUCUACCUUCUUCACCUACUUUUUAAGAUCAGUUACUCUAACUUCAUGAUAGCUAGGAGGCUGCAUCCUCGGGCCAUAUUGUC